rnacentral:rRNA from 1 species
GGCCGCGGGAAUUCGAUUCAGGCCUAACACAUGCAAGUCGAACGAUGAAGCUGGAGCUUGCUCCGGUGGAUUAGUGGCGAACGGGUGAGUAACACGUGAGAAAUCUGCCCUUGACUCUGGGAUAACUGCGGGAAACUGUAGCUAAUGCCGGAUACUUUCCUUGGUGGGCAUCCACUGGGGAAGAAAGAAUUUCGGUCAAGGAUGAUCUCGCGGCCUAUCAGCUAGUUGGUGAGGUAAUGGCUCACCAAGGCGACGACGGGUAGCCGGCCUGAGAGGGUGACCGGCCACACUGGGACUGAGACACGGCCCAGACUCCUACGGGAGGCAGCAGUGGGGAAUAUUGCACAAUAAGGGCAAGCCUGAUGCAGCAACGCCGCGUGAGGGA